CAUUGGCUCAACCAANGUAUGCUUUGGAAACUGUUAGACUNGAGUGCAGAAGGGGAGAGUGGAAUUCCAUGUGUAGCGGUGAAAUGCGUAGAUAUAUGGAGGANCACCGGUGGCGAAAGCGGCUCUCUGGUCUGUCACUGACGCUGAGGCUCGAAAGCGUGGGUAGCGANCAGGAUUAGAUACCCUGGUAGUCCACGCCGUAAACGCUGAGUGCUAGGUGUUAGGUCCUUUCCGGGACUUAGUGCCGACGCUAACGCAUUAAGCACUCCGCCUGGGGAGUACGACCGCAAGGUUGAAACUCAAAGGAAUUGACGGGGGNCCGCACAAGCGGUGGAGCAUGUGGUUUAAUUCGAAGCAACGCGAAGAACCUUACCAGGUCUUGACAUCCCGAUGCCCGCUCUAGAGAUAGAGUUUUUCUUCGGAACAUCGGAGACAAGUGGUGCAUGGUUGUCGUCAGCUCGUGUCGUGAGAUGUUGGGUUAAGUCCCGCAACGAGCGCAACCCUUAUUGUUAGUUGCCAUCAUUAAGUUGGGCACUCUAGCGAGACUGCCGGUAAUAAACCGGAGGAAGGUGGGGAUGACGUCAAAUCAUCAUGCCCCUUAUGACCUGGGCUACACACGUGCUACAAUGGUUGGUACAACGAGUCGCAAGCCGGUGACGGCAAGCUAAUCUCUGAAAGCCAAUCUCAGUUCGGAUUGUAGGCUGCAACUCGCCUACAUGAAGUCGGAAUCGCUAGUAAUCGCGGAUCAGCACGCCGCGGUGAAUACGUUCCCGGGCCUUGUACACACCGCCCGUCACACCACGAGAGUUUGUAACACCCAAAGUCGGUGAGGUAACCAUUUAUGGGGCCAGCCGC
rnacentral:rRNA from 1 species